GCCUGUUUAGCAUAGUCGUUAUUGCGCGGCACUUGUACACUCUGUGGGCAUGCCGAGGUCGCUGGUUCAAAUCCGGCAAUGGGCU
rfam:Puccinia graminis f. sp. tritici CRL 75-36-700-3 supercont2.7 genomic scaffold, whole genome shotgun sequence.